GACGAACCGUGCAAACGUUGUUCGGAAUUACUGGGCGUAAAGUGUGCGCAGGCGGCCGAGCAAGUCGAGUGUGAAAGCCCCGAGCUUAACUUGGGAAUUGCGCUCGAAACUACUUGGCUGGAGUGUGGCAGAGGAAGGUGGAAUUCCAGGUGUAGCGGUGAAAUGCGUAGAGAUCUGGAGGAACACCGAUGGCGAAGGCAGCCUUCUGGGCCAACACUGACGCUCAUGCACGAAAGCGUGGGGAGCAAACAGG
rnacentral:rRNA from 1 species